GAACGAACGCUGGCGGCGUGCUAACACAUGCAAGUCGAACGCGAAGGGACUUCGGUCCUGAGUAAAGUGGCGCACGGGUGAGUAACGCGUAGAUAACCUGUCUUCAUGUCUGGAAAUAAUACGCCGAAAGGGGUACUAAUACCGGAUAUUCUUGCUUUUCAUAAGUUAUGCAAGCAAAGGUGGCCUCUGCAUAUGCUACUGCAUGAAGAGGGGUCUGCGUACCAUUAGCUAGUAGGUGGGGUAAUGGCCUACCUAGGCGACGAUGGUUAGCGGGUCUGAGAGGAUGAUCCGCCACACUGGCACUGGAACACGGGCCAGACUCCUACGGGAGGCAGCAGUGAGGAAUAUUGCGCAAUGGGGGAAACCCUGACGCAGCGACGCCGCGUGAGUGAGGAAGGCCUUCGGGUCGUAAAGCUCUGUCAAGAGGAAAGAAGUGUACAAUGGCUAAUACCUGUUGUAUUUGACGGUACCUCUAAAGGAAGCACCGGCUAACUCCGUGCCAGCAGCAGC
rnacentral:rRNA from 1 species